UUGCUCGCGGAAUCGAUGUCGAUUGUCGUCUAUUUUGCUUCGGGUUUUCCUCCUGGUUGGUUCGAUUCUUCCAUUUCGAACUGCUGUGACCCGUCAGGAAACCUAAAGUUAGAAACUUUACAUUUCCGCGCGGGCGCGACCACGCCGAUGUGCUAUGUCAUGGACACUAACUCUGCUUUGCUUGAUGCAGGGAUCCAGCUGCUGCGAGUCAGUCAUGGACCGGACAUCGAAUUUCAUGCCUACCCCUGAUCAGAGUGUCCUGGAUGUCCAGCCCCUGAGGACUCUGGCUCCGAUGUUCCCUGCGCCUCUGGGGGUCAAUACGUUUAACCUGACCAACACCACCCCGCCAUUGGUAUUUGUCACUUCAGCUGGGCAGUUUCCAGGGGGGUUUGGUGCUCCCGGCCAUCCUGCUUUCAGGUCAUUCGCUGCCGCUUUCGGUGCUCAAGAUGCUUAUGGAGGGCAGCCCGCCUCUUCUCGUGGCCAGGAUGCCGGUGGAGGACAGGCUACCGCCUUUGCUGAUAAGUAUGCUGCUAAUGGAGCUACAAAUCCUGGCGCCACCGCUGACUGUCCAAUUGAUGCCACCCCUAUAUCAGCUUACAGGUCGACACCGCCAACAAUUAUACCACUGGACGACGAUGACGAUGACAAUGAGCAUUUGGCUGGCAACCAAACGUCAGCAUCUGGGCGGAAGAUCAAGAGGCCGUCCCACCUAAGUGGAUAUAAGAUGAGUGGCGGUUUCGGCAGUGAUGACAGCAAUGUUGUGAAGGCCAAACGCCACAGGUCCUCUUACAGGAAGGCUGGUGCUGACAAUGAGUUUACCUUGGUGCCCCUUUCAUCAAGCAAUCCCAGGGAGGUUGUGGAAGAGGUUCUCAUGACCUUUGAGGCCCUGCGGCGUAGAUAUCUUCAGGUAGAUCAGGCACAAGAGAGUAGCAAACGUCCAGACCUUAAGGUUGGUGCGAUGAUGAUGGCACGUAAUCUCAGGGCUAACAUAGGCAAGAGGAUUGGAGUUGUCCCUGGAAUCGAGAUAGGGGAUAUUUUCUACUUCAGGAUGGAGCUAUGCAUUAUUGGCUUGCAUUCUCCUACCAUGGCUGGAAUUGAUUAUAUGACCCACACCUUUGGUGAUAAGGAUGAUGAUUCUGUAGCAAUAUGUAUUGUCGCUGCAGGUGUUUAUGAGAAUGAAGAUGAUGCUACAGACACACUAGUCUACAGUGGUUCAGGAGGUAGUAGCAAGAACAAUGAGGAGAUGCAUGACCAGAAGCUUGAGAGAGGUAACCUUGCUCUUCAGACGAGCCUGUUGAGAAAGAAUGUGAUCCGGGUUGUACGGGGAUUUAAAGAUCCAGGUUGCCUGGGUGGGAAGGUUUAUAUGUAUGAUGGCCUCUAUAAGAUCCAUGAGUCCUGGAAGGAGAGAACAAAGACUGGGAUCCAGUGCUUCAAGUACAAGCUGCUGCGGGAGCCAGGACAACCCGAGGGAAUGUCAAUCUGGAAGAUGUCCCAGAAAUGGGUAGAAAAUCCAGCAACUAGAGGUAGAGUUCUACACCCUGAUCUAUCAUCUGGUGCUGAAAAUCUUCCAGUGUGUCUUGUCAAUGAUAUUAACAGUGAGAAAGGACCAGGCCUUUUCACCUAUAUUACUCAGGUCAAGUACCCAAAGCCACUAAGUUCUAUGAAACCAUUACAGGGUUGUUCGUGCCUCAACGCUUGUCUGCCCACUGAUACCGAUUGUGGUUGUGCAAAGUUUAAUGGAGCUAAUUUACCUUAUAGUUCAACAGGCUUGCUUGUAUGCCGCAAGAAUAGGCUAUAUGAAUGUGGUGAAUCUUGCCAGUGUUCAGUUAACUGCCGUAACAGGGUGACACAGAAGGGGGUUAGGGUUCACUUUGAGAUCUUUAGGACAGGAAAUCGAGGCUGGGGUCUUCGUUCAUGGGAUCCUAUACGGGCUGGCUCAUUUAUCUGUGAGUAUGUUGGUGAGGUUAUUGAUGAUGGUAAAUCGAAUUUGGAUGAUGGUGAAGAUGAUUACCUUUUUCAGACUGUGUGUCCUGGUGAGAAGACAUUAAAAUGGAAUUGUGGACCUGAACUGAUGGGGGAGCAAAGCAUGAAUAAUUCAGAUGAUACAUUUGAGCCGCUGCCUAUCAAGAUAAGUGCAAAGAGAAAGGGAAACAUCUCACGUUUCAUGAACCAUAGUUGUUCCCCUAACGCCUUCUGGCAGCCGGUUCAGUUUGACCAUGGAGAUGACGGUCACCCACAUAUCAUGUUCUUUGCAUUGAAGCAUAUCCCUCCCAUGACAGAGCUGACUUAUGACUAUGGUGAGAUUGGAACCGAUUCUGGUGGUAUAGGUUCCCCUGGAGCUAAGAGCUGCCUUUGUGGAUCCUCAAAUUGCCGGGGCUAUUUCUGCUGAUUAUGGAAGAUGUGCAUUCUGCUUAUCAACAUGCCAAUCUAUCUGCUAGAUCAUUUUUUGGGUCGUUCUGGUGGUACCUAGGAGGGAAGUGUGCUCAAGUCUGACAGAGGUAGGAGCGUCUCAAAUGGCUCCCCUCAUGACUACGCCGUAGUGGAGAUAGUAGACUUUUGUCAAGCUCUGCAAUGCCCAUUGUCACACAAGGACAAAGUAGCUUGUUGUGAUUCUGUGACCGUAGGCCUUGCGAGGUCAGUUUUGUAUGAUAACCUUAGUAUUUGGGUAGCUCAGGUUGAACCAAAACUCGUUGCAACCAAUAUGGCUUCAAGUACAUUCAGACCAGUGGGCUGGCUUCAAAGUCUAGAAUUUCCUGCCACGGUUGUUCUCUGUUGGGUUCUGUUCAGGUUUAUAUGCUACAGAAAGUUAUGAUGUUGACUCUUCACAUUCAAAAGAAGUCUUCAAUGGCAUUAACUUA